CUAGAUUCGCCAGAAUAACAAAACAACAACUGAUAGUAGCUUGAUUUAUUAUUUGUAGAGGACUAGAUGAAGGUUACAGACAGUCCUACUUUCACAACACAGAAGGACUUACAUCCUUGGAACAAUCUAAAAGGCAUGUUCUUUAUGGAAGAAACUCUAUUGCUGUUCAUGUCACACCUAUCAUGAUACUUUUGGUCAGAGAGGUUUUCUCUCCAUUUUAUAUCUUCCAAUUGUUCUCUAUGUGUUUGUGGUAUGCUGAGGACUAUUGGAUCUAUGCUACUUGUAUUUUUGUCAUGACUACAUUAUCUAUUAUACUACAGAUCUACCAGACCAGAAAAUUUGAAAGAGCUUUAAGGAACACAGUCUCAUCAACUAACAUAAAUACAGUUUUACGAAGUGAUGGAUGUAA
rnacentral:sRNA from 1 species